UAAAACAUUUUUGACUGUUGGAGUAUGGGUGACAGAAAAGGCAUAUAGCAAGAGAUAGAGUAUGAAGUAACGUGAGUGAAGGUUGGGCUUAGCAGAGAAGUAUCAGUGAUGGGCUCUCGUACCUUUUGCAUCAUGGUUUUACUAGUUAGUAUUCUCAGGGAGUAUCCCGAAGACCUUGUGAUCUACUUUCUUACUCUGGGUUGGCGUUGAAGAGCUAUCCGAAGAUAGGGAGAUAGUGGCGAAAUACUUUUCGCACGGGUUGAUAGCUGGUUGUCCUAGAAAUAUAUUUAAGUAUAGCUUCUCUAGUGGAUGGGUGUUAAAAAAAAACUUAGUCGUUGGGCGGUGGUGUUUUCUAGUGAAAGUUGACUUUUUCAGGAUAAGCUGGGAAAGGUUAGAAAAAGUGAUUGUCGAAGUGGUGAGCAAGGAAGUGGGCUUAAAGGAGUCAUCUUUUACAGAGUGGGUUUGUCCUCACAAGUGCUCUUUUCAUAAAUAGAAAAUUAUUUGCUUUUUAAUUCUAUGGGACUUUUUUACGAAACGUUGGUAGUAAAAGUAAUAAUGUAAGGAUGAGUAGUCGAGUUGGUUGUAAGGGGUUCUUAGUUUCGGGGUAUAGGGCGAUAAGGGGGAUAAAGUUUUAGUAAUCAGAGUUAAAGGAACUCGGCAAAAUAGGGGACCGCCUGUUUAUCAAAAACAUGGCCUCCUGAUUACCAUGGGAGGUCGUGCCUUCCCGGUGAGCUUUCGAGCUUAAACGGACGCGGUAAAUCGUGCAAAGGUAGCUAAAUUACGGCCUAUUAAUUGUAGGUCCUGUGAAUGGUUUGACGAGCCUCCGGCUGUCUCUAAUCUGUUUUGGUGAACUUGAAUUGGACGUGCAAAUGCUUCCUUGAAAAAGAAAGACGAGAAGACCCCGUGAAGCUAGAAAUUUAAGCUGCAGGCGUUAAGUUCUCAGGCCCGUAGGGUCGACUUUUGAAUUAGUUUCAGAGUGAGUUGGUGUAGUGAUGGUUUUGGCUGGGGAAGCAAAAGAGCAAGAUAAGACUCUUUUAGGGAGAAAGCGGAUGCGCUACGAUCCACAGUUUUAUUAGUUUUGUGAUUAGCAGAAAAAGUUACUCCGGGGAUAACAGCGUUAUCCGUCCCGAUAGUUCUUAUAGAUGGGCGGGUUUGCGACCUCGAUGUUGGCUCUGGGUAUCCUUAGGCUUGCAGGCGGUCUUUAGGGUUGGUUCGUUCGCCCAUUAAAACCCGACGUGAGCUGAGUUCAGAUCGGUGAAAGCCAGGUCGGUUUCUAUCUUCUUCUUAGUAAAUUUAGGUUUUUAGGUACGAAAGGACAAUUAAUCUUAGGUAAAUUCUGGGUGGUUCUCGAAGGCAAAAUAA
rnacentral:rRNA from 1 species